GAUGAACGCUAGCUACAGGCUUAACACAUGCAAGUCGAGGGGCAGCAUGGUCUUAGCUUGCUAAGGCCGAUGGCGACCGGCGCACGGGUGAGUAACACGUAUCCAACCUGCCGUCUACUCUUGGACAGCCUUCUGAAAGGAAGAUUAAUACAAGAUGGCAUCAUGAGUUCACAUGUUCACAUGAUUAACGGUAUUCCGGUAGACGAUGGGGAUGCGUUCCAUUAGAUAGUAGGCGGGGUAACGGCCCACCUAGUCUUCGAUGGAUAGGGGUUCUGAGAGGAAGGUCCCCCACAUUGGAACUGAGACACGGUCCAAACUCCUACGGGAGGCAGCAGUGAGGAAUAUUGGUCAAUGGGCGAGAGCCUGAACCAGCCAAGUAGCGUGAAGGAUGACUGCCCUAUGGGUUGGAAACUUCUUUUAUAAAGGAAUAAAGUCGGGUAUGUAUACCCGUUUGCAUGUACUUUAUGAAUAAGGAUCGGCUAACUCCGU
rnacentral:rRNA from 1 species